AGUGAACGCUGGCGGUAGGCCUAACACAUGCAAGUCGAACGGCAGCACAGUAAGAGCUUGCUCUUACGGGUGGCGAGUGGCGGACGGGUAAGGAAUACAUCGGAAUCUACUUUUUCGUGGGGGAUAACGUAGGGAAACUUACGCUAAUACAGCAUACGACCUACGGGUGAAAGCAGGGGAUCUUCGGACCUUGCGCGAUUGAAUGAGCCGAUGUCGGAUUAGCUAGUUGGCGGGGUAAAGGCCCACCAAGGCGACGAUGCGUAGCUGGUCUGAGAGGAUGAUCAGCCACACUGGAACUGAGACACGGUCCAGACUCCUACGGGAGGCAGCAGUAGGGAAUAUUGGACAAUGGGCGCAAUCCUGAUCCAGCCAUACCGCGUGGGUGAAGAAGGCCUUCGGGUUGUAAAGCCCUUUUGUUGGGAAAGAAAAGCAGCAGGUUAAUACCCCGCUGUUCUGACGGUACCCAAAGAAUAAGCACCGGCUAACUUCGUG
rnacentral:rRNA from 1 species